GACGAACGCUGGCGGCGUGCUUAACACAUGCAAGUCGAACGAAGUGGCGAACGGGUGAGUAAUACGUGGGUAACCUGCCCUCCUUUUUGGGUUAAGCCUUGGAAACGGGGUCUAAUACCGAAUAAAGGGGGAUGGGCUCGCGGCCUAUCAGCUUGUUGGUGGGGUGAUGGCCUACCAAGGCGGUGACGGGUUGCCGGCCUGAGAGGGUGACCGGCCACAUAGGGACGGAGAUACGGCCCAGACUCGUAAGGGGGGCAGCAGUGGGGGAUAUGGCACAAUGGGCGAAAGCCUGAUGCAGCGACGACGCGUGGGGGAUGAGGGCUUUCGGGUUGUAAACCUCUUUCGGAAUGGAACGGGUAGGUGGAGAAGAAGCGCCGGCUAACUACGUGCCAGCCGCCGCGGUAAUUC
rnacentral:rRNA from 1 species